rnacentral:lncRNA from 10 species
GGGCAGAUCACCUAAGGUCAGGAGUUCGAGACCAUCCUGGCCAACAUGGUGAAACCCCGUCUUCACUAAAAAUACAAAAUUUAGCCGGGCAUGGUGGCACAUGUGUAAUUCCAGCUUCUCUACUAAAAAUACUAAAAUUAGCCAGGCAUGGUGGUGGCAUGCGCCUGUAAUCCCAAUUACUUAGGAGGCUGAGGCAGGAGAAUUGCUUGAACCCAGGAGACAGAGGUUGCAGUGAGCCGAGAUAGUGCCACUGCACUCCAGUCUGAGCGACAGAGCGAGACUCCAUCUAAAAAUAAAAAAUGAAAAAAAAAACAACCACACAGAAAAAGGGAUGAAAAGACAAUAAAAAAUAAUCCACAGAAGAAAUGAAAUGAUAAAAAGUUAUAUUAAAAGAUGCUUAUCUUCACAAAACAUAUAAGAAAUAUAAACUAAAACUAGUACUAAGAUCAGGUGGCAAAUAUUAAGAA